GGUGUGCUCAGAGAAGGGGGCCUGGAGAAAUGGCUCCUUUGUUUUCAACUUAUGCAACAGGAAUCUUGGUGCGUGUGACAAGGGACACAAAACCCAUAGCCUCUCUAGGAACAAAUACUCAACAAGU
rnacentral:snoRNA from 1 species